AGCUAUCUGUUGGAAAUAAAAUAUUCUGUGAAACCGGCAACACGGGCUGACGAUGCAAAAGCGGAAUAGUAUAAAAUAUCAUUGUUGGUAGGAGGUCUAUUUGAAGACAGCGCGAGAUAAAAUACCAAAAUCAUUGAAGCUGCUAUUGAGAAUGCUGCUCUCAGUCUUUGGUUUAUCGCGGCAAAUGUGACUUCCUCCCCAACAAACUUCAAUGAUUUUGCGGAAUCAUUUGCAGUAGUAAGAGCACAAUGGACCCGCGGCUUCAGCAAAUAGAAGCAGAAGGCAACCUAUGGCGGAAAUAUUGUGAUGAUGAAGAACGGCGCAUCGAUGAAGAAUAUGAGCGUCGGCUUGCUGAAAUCGAUGCAGAAUUCGAGGAAGCUGCUAGGAAAAUUCGACAGAAAUUCUCCCAAAAGACGGAUGCAGUGAAAAGGCAGUUUUGUGAAGUUAAUUCAUUCACAAAACCUUCCACACAACUCGCCUGUACUUCUGAACAACAAAGCAGUGCACCUAUCCCUCAUCGACGAACAUCAGCACGUCAUUCAAGUUCAAUCGCGGCAUCUGUAGAGGUGCACAUUAACGAUAUAAGAUCGUCACAGGUGGUACAAUCAGCUGUUCCACAAAAUGUGUUAACAGUGUCUAGUGGUCAGAAUAAAGUUUGCCAUCUCGAGAACACGGAUCCUAAAACUGUAAAUAUGCCCAAACUAUACAUGGCAGGAAAGUAUGCAUUUGAAAGGCAGCCAACCAUCCAAUUUCUAUUAUGUGAAAUAAUUAUCAAAUGUGAAGUCUGUGGAACAGUGGCGUUAACAACAGAUAGAGCAACAACAACGAAAACGUACAUCGAGAUCUUCGAUCCCGGGGGAGCGUUUGUUUUUUUCUCUCAGCUCAGUUCGAUAGCUACACGCGUUGCGACGAUUGUUUUUUGCCAUUCUGAGUGAUCAAUCAUAUCGUUCAAUUGUUGUCAUUCCAUGUGAAUGUGGCAAUCAAAUGGUCAGACCUGUUACCUGUUUCACGGGUGGGAGAAUGUUGGAAAUAAAAUAUUCUGUGAAACCGGCAACACGGGCUGACGAUGCAAAAGCGGAAUAGUAUAAAAUAUCAUUGUUGGUAGGAGGUCUAUUUGAAGACAGCGCGAGAUAAAAUACCAAAAUGUAUGUAUAUAAUAAGUUAGAUUUAAAAUAUAUUUAAGUAAAAUAAAUUGAAUUUCAGCAUUGAAGCUGCUAUUGAGAAUGCUGCUCUCAGUCUUUGGUUUAUCGCGGCAAAUGUGACUUCCUCCCCAACAC